AAAGGAAUUGACGGGGACCCGCACAAGCAGCGGAGCAUGUGGUUUAAUUCGAAGCAACGCGAAGAACCUUACCAGGGCUUGACAUGACACGGACCGGUGUAGAGAUACACCCUUCUCUUCGGAGACUGUGUCACAGGUGGUGCAUGGUUGUCGUCAGCUCGUGUCGUGAGAUGUUGGGUUAAGUCCCGCAACGAGCGCAACCCCUGUCCUUAGUUACCAGCAUUUAGUUGGGGACUCUAAGGAGACUGCCGGUGAUAAACCGGAGGAAGGUGGGGAUGACGUCAAAUCAUCAUGCCCUUUAUGUCCUGGGCUACACACGUGCUACAAUGGUCGGAAACAAAGCGCAGCAAACUCGUGAGAGUAAGCGAAUCGCAUAAAGUCGAUCUCAGUUCGGAUUGUAGGCUGCAACUCGCCUACAUGAAGUCGGAGUUGCUAGUAAUCGCGAAUCAGAAUGUCGCGGUGAAUGCGUUCCCGGGUCUUGUACACACCGCCCGU
rnacentral:rRNA from 1 species